CCACUUUCCUUUUAUUUCCCGCCGCCACGCCACGCGCACCUCGGCGAAGGACAAGGCUCCGGCUGCCGCCACCGCCUCUGCCCCGGCUAUAAAGCCGCGCCCUUUGGCCGGCCCGCUCCUCCUCCUCCUCGCUUCGCCCGGGCCAUGCCUUCCUCCUCCUCGCCGCGCACUGCCCGGUCUGCUCCUCCUCCUCUCCUCGCCCUGUGGCCGUGCCUUCCUCCUCCUCGCCGCGCCCUGCCCGGUCCGCUCCUCCACCUCCUCUCUUCGCCCCGGCCGCGCCUUCCUCCUCCUCGCCGCGCUCCCGCCGGUCCGCUGCUCCUCCACCCUUCGUCCGGGCCGUGCGUAUGUCCUCCUCGAGCCGGAUUUCAUCUUGCUCGUCCUCCUCGAUCGAUUUGCCCAUUUAGAAGAGCGUCUGGAUUUGAUUUUGCUCGUCCUUUUGCCCGUUUAGAGUCGCGUCCGGAUUUGAUUUUGCUCGCCGUCACCGUCGCCGUCGCCGGUUUAGAUAGCUAGAGAACCCCGCCUGAUUUGAUUUUGCUCGUUCUCGCCGUCGCCCGUGUAGGACCGCGUCCAAUUUGAUUUUGCUGGUGUGCAGUUCGUCAGUUUAGAGUCGCUUCUGAGUUGAUUUUGCGCUUCCCCGCCGUCGUCGGUUUAGAGUCGCUUCUGAUUUGGUUCUGCUCGUCCACGCCGUCGGCCGUUUUCGUCUUGCUCGUCCUCGCAGUUGCCCCGACGCGCUCGCAUGUUCUUGGUCCUGUCUCGUCGAGGGUCUCCCGUCUGGUUUGCGAUCGAGAAAUUUCUGCGUGCGCUUCUGUUAUCUGAGAGACGCUUUGGAUCCCGCGUUUGGUGUUCGUGUCGCCGCGAGCGUUACAGGAAUGGUCGGGUCUUGGUUUUGAAAUUGGGUUCCGGCCGGAGAUGGAGAGACGGAGAGCAGUUGUCAGUUUGGCGUGCUAGUUCAGAUCGGUUCCUAGGCUCCUGCGUUGUUCGUCGGUUGUUGUCUGAUCUCAAACGGCUAGCUUGUUCGUGUUAGCCUAGAUACUCUGGUUCCUAUGUCGAUUCUGAUUGUACCAGCUAGCUUGUUUCACUUUCGUCAGGCUAGAUGCAGGGGUGAUUUUGUUCUGAUGGGUGUUGAUUUAUGUUCUUUUCAAUUCAAUUGGUUGGUUACUUCCUAUCAUGCUCUGUUUAUGUUCCCAUAUAUGCUGAUGUGUGUUCAGGGGUGCCAUUUUGAGCAGGCAGGCAUAGCCGAAAGUUCUAAAAGAGUGCAAAUCAUGUGGCUUGCUGCUUGACUAAUUGAACACCUUCUGCUGCUACUGUAGGACAAGGUUUCCUUCUUUUAUUCCUCGUGUUGCUAUUUCCAUUUUCAUAUAGGAGUACUAGAUGAGGUGCUGCUAGUCUUCUAGAUUGCAUAGCAUAACUCCAGAAUCUUGUCAUUGCACACCUGGGCAUAUGAUUCUGCUGUGAGCAUAAUUCCAGAGUUUAUUUAUCUGUGAAAGCACGCUCAUCACACGAUUCUUAUCAAUGCUGCUCACUUUUGUCAUGUCCCUUUUGUUUGUCCUGUUAAAUUUUAUGGAGCAAAUUUCGUGCUCACUCUAGUUGAAAUAUCAAGAACGCUGACUUCUGUAUUUGUCACUAUGUAAGCCAUGCACUUGGGAAGCCUGGGCGUGAUUAGGAUUUGGAUUGCAUAUAGAUUUUAUGCUAUGUUUGUUUAUAACCUGGUUGUAACCUAAUAUAGUGUGAAUCUGCUAAUUUUUUAAUUUAAUUUAUGUUCAACGCAAGGAGGUUUUGUUCGUAAGUCGUAUUUCUUUUGCGUGUGCAUGAACAUUCACGCUGUAAUUUUUCUUAUCAUAAUCAUUUACCGUGGUGUUUGACAAUACAUUUCUACUGUUCUUUGUUCCCUUUUGAGGUUCACUAACUCAAUUAUGCAUGAGAUAUGAUAUCAAUUACUGCUGUCCAGUCACUGAAAUAAUGCUUUUCUUGCUUUGCCUAGACUUUGUGACAAGAAUAAGCAUGUGUCUCUGUGCCUACAAACUUGUGGGUAGUGCUGUAGUGAUGAUGAUCUAACUAGCUUCCUGUUUUCAGGAAUGAAGAUCUGAAUUACCCUCACCCCUCUACAGAAAUCAGUUUACUCAUUCGGUUUCUGGAACUUCUUUAUAGCUUUCUGAGUUUACUUCGUUCUUGCAUCUAUUAGCUUUCUGUUUGUACCCUUAUCUAUGUUUCUUUGUGUGUUUCUUGUGUGCAAGCGAUCCAUUGUGUGUGUCUGACUGUGUGUGUGAUGUGCCCCUGUCUAUGUUUGUUUCUUUGUCUGUUUCAUGUGUGCAAGUGCUCCAUUAUCUGUGUGUGACUGUGUUUGACUGCUUGGAUGUGGUGAUUCUGAUUGUGUUACUGUGCUUAUAUGGUCUGUCCAAUUGGUUUCUUAUUCAUGCUUUGCUUGUGUUCCAAUGUCGUCUCCCCAUAUAUGGGGAUGUGUUCAGGGAUGCAAACCAUUUAGGCCGUUUCGAGCAGGCAGGGAUCCAGAGAUGUGCACUGGUCAGGCCUCUCUCCUGCUGAUAGAUGAUGAUAGGCUGAGCAGAAAAGUUUGACUCUUGUAACACUCACUUGCUUGGCUUCCACUCCUUUGUGUGGCCGAUUUGGCAUCCAAUGCAUCUCAUGCCUAUCUUAUAUAUCUCACUCACUCAUCACAGCAUCCUUUUCCCUGUUUUUGUUCCUUUUUUUCUUAUCAUAAUAAUCAUGUAUACCGUGGUGUUUGACAAUACAUUUUUUGUGAUAUCUGUGUUUCGUUAUCUCUUAUGUGGAUAUCAUAUUCUUUUUUUGUAUUACUGCUGUCCAUUCACUGGAAUAAUGCUUUUCUAAGUAUUUCAGGUAGGAUAUAAACAAAUGUCACAUUUGCUCUUCCUUGUGUUGCUAAGGACACUGAUGAGUUACAGCGCAGGACCGGUAAUUCUGAUAGUAUGCCAAGGACUGCUCAGGGUUCCUAUCGCUUUCUGUUUUACCAACUAAGGUAAUCGAAUUUUGAUCUUCAGCUUGCAAAUUUAUCACCUUAUGGGAGGGAAAGGUUUGCAUGUACAUGAGCUCUGAUUAUCUACAUAUAUACUUGAAUUGCUUUGGAUUUGUUGGACUGCUAUUCUACAUGAUGUUCUCCAUGAUUCACUUGAUCAGUAUUUUCCUGGUGAGUUCUUUAGGGUCAUCUUGUGACACAAAAUACAAUUUUGGUACGUGCAGACUCUGAAAUUUGGUGAUAAAGAAAAGGUACCUCCUAAUUUGCUCUCUGGCUCUCUUACACUUGUCUUUGUUUAUAUGACAGUAGUGGCCUCCUGGCUGGUAGUUGGGUAAUGCAGAGAGAGUUUGGAAUUGAAGAACUAAAAUAAUGCAGAGUUGAAGGUUCUGAACGGGAAGCUUGAACAAAUAGUUUACCUUUUCUCAUGUCUUUGAUUAGUUUCAUCCUAUCUAUGUCUGUUUCUUGUGUGCAAGCACUCCAUUGUGUCUGUGUGACUGUGUGUGACUGACUGUUUGUGUGUGUUUCUUUGUCCGUUUCUUGUGUGCAAGCGCUCCAUUGUGUGUGUGCUUUUGUGUUGACUGUGACUGUGUGUCGUUUUAUGACUGUGACUGUGUAUUGAUUGUGACUGUGUAUGUGUGUGUGUUGACUGUGACUGUGUGUCAUUGUGCAAGCGCUCCAUAACUACCUAUUGGCACCUGAUAAUGCAUGGAAAUUUCUAUAAGGUCAUGGGCAUGUAAUUUUAUGACCUACAUACCUCUGUAGUUGGUAGUAUCAAUUGCCCUUUGGACACUCUUAAAUUCAUUGCUGUAUAUUUUCCUGCCACAAGUAUGAUGUUUGUGCUCAGAAUGAUGUAUAUAUAGAAUCCAGGGUGGAUGGAGGUUUUCAUAAUGGCUAAUUUGAUUUGUUAUGGUUCUGAUGGUGUGCUUCUUGUGUUUGAACUGAAGCUGUGGAUCACUCAUCAACCUGGUAUGUGUUUGUAUGGUAAUCCUUCUCGAAUUUAACUCCUUCCAAUUUUGUACACAAUAUUUUUCUUACGGCCGGUAAUACUUUAUGAAUGCAUAUCCCACAUUUUAGCUAGUAAUAUAGUAACGCCAUACUUCUUUGGACGUUGUUCUGUAUAUGCAAUUGUGGUGAGCUCACAUAUUGUGUCAGUAUCUACCUAUGCAGCUGAAUUAUUUCCGGAUAGGACAGAGGUGCAAUGCUUACAUCCAUGGCAGAAGGUUCUUUAACACUGAACUCAUCAAAGGUCCUUGGACUCAAGAGGAAGAUGACAAAAUUAUUGACCUUGUAAACAAGUAUGGACUAACAAAAUAGUCUCAUUGCAAGGUCAGCUUCCAGAACUUCCUGCUGCUGAUCCUGGGAUGUUUCCGAACAUGCUCCUGAACAUGUUCAAUUUAUCCGCCCUAGUACAGCCACUGCCAUGACACAGCAGGUUACUCGGCAUGCUCGGCGUGUUUACUUCGGUGGACUUCCUCCGAUCACUAAUGAACAGACGGUUGCUCUAUUCUUCAAUCAAGUUAUGGCUGCUAGGGAAACACAUUUGGUCUAGGUGGCAUAAUCAUCUGAAUCCAAACAUAUGGAACGAUGCUUGGACUACUGAGGAGGAACAUGCACUGAUUAAUGCCAUCAGGUAUUUGGGAAUAAAUGAGCAGAAAUAGCAAAAGUUAUUCCUGGAAGGUACUGCAUGCCAAACAACUUACAUCAUGGGUCUUGCUUGUAGUAUUUGCUUUCUGUUUGUGUCCUUUCUAUCUCUUGUGUGUGUGACUGACUAUGUGUGACUGUGACAGUGUAUGUGUGACUGACUCUGUGUGACUGUUACUGUGUGUGUGACUGAAUCUGUGUGUGACUGUGACUCUCUGUGUGACCGGACUGUGUGUGUGUGUUUGAAUUAAUAUUGCAUUUGCUUGAUGGUGUGUGCUGUAUGCUUUGCUUGGUGUGUCCUGUAUGCUUUGCUUGAUGGUGUGUCCUGAAUGCUUUGCUUGUGUGUGUUUGAAUUAAUAUUGCAUUUGCUUGAUGGUGUGUGCUGUAUGCUUUGCUUGAUGGUGUGUCCUGUAUGCUUUGCUUGAUGGUGUGUCCUGAAUGCUUUGCUUGAAUGAUUGGUGUUGUAUGUUUUGUUUGUUGUGGUUUAACACUGCCUUUGCCGGUCCCAAGCCCGGAUGUGAAAAUGUGGAGGGAGCUGCAUUGAUAUUGCAUUUGCUUGAUUGUGUGUCCUGUAUGCUUUGCUUGAAUGAUUGAUGUUGUUGUAUAAUUUGUGUUUUGUAUUGUUGUGGUUUAACACUGCCUUUGCCGGUCCCAAGUCCGGAUGUGAAAAUGUGGAGGGAGCUGCAUUGAUAUUGCAUUUGCUUGAUUGUGUGUCCUGUAUGCUUUGCUUGAAUGAUUGAUGUUGUUGUAUAAUUUGUGUUUUGUAUUGUUGUGGUUUAACACUGCCUUUGCCGGUCCCAAGUCCGGAUGUGAAAAUGUGGAGGGAGCUGCAGUUACCUUCUUUGUAUUGUUUGCAUUACACACAGUUUGCAUUACCUUCUUUGUAUUGUUUGCAUUACACACAAUUUGCAUUACCUUCUUUGUGGUUACUGUCCUGAUUGAAAUAGUGGAUCUUCACAUACUGUGAUAGCAUGUGAUGAAGCUUUGAAAUGCAUCCUUCCUUGCUAUGAAAAAUCUAGGCAUGCCAGGAACUUCAUGAUUCCUUUCUCAAGCUGUAUGAGGUCAGUGUGUUUUUUUUUUUUUUUUGCGAAUAAUAUGAGGCCAGUGUUUACUUACGACAAUACCAAAGGGGAGCGAAUGUUCGAUUGUUUGGGUGGUGUAUGGCUUCCCUAGAAAAUAAAAUGCAAUGCUAUCUGUUCGGCUGUAUACAAAUUUUUCCGACCAUAGAAUUCAUCUCGUCUCCUAAAUUAAUCCUACUGGUUUUAAAUCUUGUCAGUGUGGAUGUUCUUUUUUUUACUAAUAUAUAUUGUCAAGUAAAUGCAUCUCCUAAAUUAAUCCUACUGGUUUUAAAUAUUGUCAAUGUGAAUGUUCUUUUUUCUGCUAAUAUAUAUUGUCAAGUAAAAACCUCAGUUGUUUGUCCCAAGCAACUGGGCGCUGCUAGCUAGGCAAGUUGAGUGAGUAAUAAUGUCCUGAACACUAUAGAACUGACGUUAGUUCUAUAUAUAUUGAUCUUGUGUGAACGCGCUCUGCGCCCUCGGAUGCAUCGCACGGAUCUUGGCGUGAGGAUCACCAUGUGAGGCGUUGCGCUAACUGUCGGCUGAGCGAACGUUCCGUAUAUCCCCCUCCCUCGCUCCACUAACGCCAGUCCCCCAUCUUUUCCUAACCCGUCUCGCCACUCCGCCCCAUAGGUGAUUCAGUAUGGUUUCUUUGUCUCCGCUGGCAAUUCGAGCGUCUUCGAUCUAUCGGAAUCAAGUUCUUCAUCGACUCCAGCAUUGGGCUAAGGCGUACACUGCUCCGCCGCCACCGCUCUGUUUUCUGUAGGGUUCAUUCCGCCGGGGUUCGAUGGAUGUUGAGUGGUUGACAUGGCGGCGGUGACAUUUUUAUUCGCUC